rnacentral:rRNA from 1 species
UACGUAGGUGGCGAGCGUUAUCCGGAAUUAUUGGGCGUAAAGCGCGCGCAGGCGGUUCCUUAAGUCUGAUGUGAAAGCCCACGGCUCAACCGUGGAGGGUCAUUGGAAACUGGGGAACUUGAGUGCAGAAGAGAAGAGCGGAAUUCCACGUGUAGCGGUGAAAUGCGCAGAGUAUCAGGAGGAACACCAAUGGCGAAGGCAGGCUCGCUUGGGUACGUGACUGACGCUGAGGCGCGAAAAGCGUGGGGAGCGAACAGG